rnacentral:rRNA from 1 species
CCUACGGGAGGCAGCAGUGAGGAAUAUUGGACAAUGGGCGCAAGCCUGAUCCAGCCAUGCCGCGUGCAGGAAGAAGCAUCUAUGGUGUGUAAACUGCUUUUGUACAGGAAGAAACACUCCCUCGUGAGGGAGCUUGACGGUACUGUAAGAAUAAGGACCGGCUAACUCCGUGCCAGCAGCCGCGGUAAUACGGAGGGUCCGAGCGUUAUCCGGAAUCAUUGGGUUUAAAGGGUCCGUAGGCGGUUUAAUAAGUCAGUGGUGAAAUCUGGUCGCUCAACGAUCAAACGGCCAUUGAUACUGUUAGACUUGAAUUAUAAGGAAGUAACUAGAAUAUGUAGUGUAGCGGUGAAAUGCUUAGAUAUUACAUGGAAUACCAAUUGCGAAGGCAGGUUACUACUUAUGGAUUGACGCUGAUGGACGAAAGCGUGGGGAGCGAACAGGAUUAGAUACCCUGGUAGUCCACGCCGUAAACGAUGGAUACUAGCUGUUCGGAGCAAUCUGAGUGGCUAAGCGAAAGUGAUAAGUAUCCCACCUGGGGAGUACGUUGCAAGAAUGAAACUANAAGUAGAGUGCGNGAGAGAGCGACGAGGCACGAGGAGGGUUAG